GUGGCUUUGGGGGUCGGCAGGUCUGGGGCAGCGCCAGCACCUGCCCUUGUGGGGAACUCCGGUUUCCUGUUUUACCAUUUGUCUAAUGGGGGUUCAAAGGCCCCAGAAAAGGCCUGAAAUAGAAUUGAGCCUUCUCUCCUUCCGUCCUUCCUUCUUAGACCCUAGACGGGGACCUUGGGAAGAAGAAAAGCAAUAGUUUAUUCCUGAUUCCUGAGAUCUUUGAAGACAAGGGUGGGUUCUCAACCUCCUUCUCCAGGAGAAGCAGUCCCAAGUCCCUAUAAGACAGGCCCUUGGACCUCCUGCAGCAUGUUAUCUAGAUUCUCCAGCAUGCCAUCUGCCCACAUAUCACCCAUAGACUUCUCCCUAAGCAAACCUGUGUUUAACUUGGGAACCCAGCAUUACAGACCUCCACAGGCAGUUAGCACCCCAUUCUCAUACCCAUGAUGGCCACAGCAUUGCGACCAUGUCCCUCCAAAGGCCUAGAAGCAAAUAUGGCUUCUGUCAAAGGCUCGUCACCCUUUGCCUGCCACUGGGCCCCUCCCUGGGCUGGGUCUGCCUGCCAGGUUGGAUGGGGUCACAAUGCUGGCUGGGCCCGUAAGAUUCUCAAAGCUCCUUUGAAUCCAUACAUGACACUUCUCCUCCCUGUAGGCCCGAAGCCCACAGGGUGUCUGUCUGCCAGCAACUGUGACAUUAGCCACUGGAGAGCAAGGGUGUUCUUACCACUCUGCCCAUGGCUAAAAAGUUGCUACUCAUGCUAUCGUGAGAGGCCAAUGAACCUGUGAUCUGCUACAGGACAGUGGGGCUGACAGCACACAGAUGCACAGAGCUGUACAAAUGCAAAUCAGACAAAACCGCAGCACUGAGACCAGGAGUGGACUUGAAGUUCCACCCCCAAUCAAGAACCUCGAUGCAAUUGAUACCUGCUGGGAGGGAAAGUCAGUUUUCUCCAAUAAAAGCCCCCUGGAGGCAGCUCACCUUCACGUCUCGGCUCUGCUGUGUAACCUGAAGCUGAUGUUCUGGGAUUCUUGCUAUCCUGAACGCAAAGUCCGCAGAUCCAGAAGGGGAAGUUUGUCUCCUGAGGUUGGUGAUCGCCACACCCCCCUGAGCCCAUCCGAGAUCCUUCCAUGUAAUUCAGGUGUCUAUCAACCGUUUGGAAUGACAUAAACUCGUCUAGGCUCUCUGCA